UCCCAUGCUGCACAUGAGAUCUCUGAGGCCAAGGACCAUGACCCGCGCUGAGUCCUUUGCCUAAGCAGGGCAGGAGGCUGGAGGAAGAGUGAAUUCGCCCUAGGGACCCCUUCCUGGCCUCAAGUGACAGCCCUGGCAUGCAGCAGAGUCCACCUUGCAUGUCCCCUGCCUCUAGUCUUGACCUCCCGGGAGACAAAGCAAAGAGAUGGUACAAACAUGGAUAUUCAUACAGCGAGAGAGACCCAGCCAACGGGAGAAAAACAGAGAAGAGAGAAAAGUAAAAGCAAUCUGAACGUCCAUCAGUAGGGAAGCAAUAAAAUAAAUGUUGGUGGAUCUGCAUUACGAGAGAAUGGGCAGUAACAGGGUAAGACGAGCAUUUACAGUGAUGUUUAAAAAACUCUCCAAGAUACAUGGUUAAUAGGGAAAACCUUUUUCAUUUUUAUCGGUACCAGGGAUGGAACUCACAACUGCCUGCUUGCAAGGCAGGCGCUUAUGCCACCCAGCUAAAUCCCCAGCCCCAAGAGGGAAAACCUACGGGCCGGGGAUUUAGCUCAGCGGCAUAAGCGCCUGCCUUGCAAGUGUGCGGUUGUGAGUUCAAUCCCUGGUACCGGUAAAAAUGAAAAAGACACACAAAAAAUGGAGAAAGAAAAAAACAAAAAAACCCGGUAUCGAUAAAAAAGAAAAAAAAAAAAACAAAAAAAAAAAAGAGGGAAAACCUAGCUGGACAUUUAGCUCAAUGGCACAAGCGUCUUCCUGGCAAGCAUGAGGUCAUGUGUCUGAUUCCCGGUACCAAAAUAAAUAAAUAUAAAAAUAAAAAAGACAGAGAGAGAGAAAGUCUAGUUGUAGAUAAAUAUAAGCUUACAACCAGCCAAAAAAUACUGAAAGAAAGAAAAAAAGAAGAUACAAGUAUAAAGAUUGAUAUAAGUAUAAAGAUGAAUGUGAAAUCAGACUAAAAUGCACACCAAAUUCUUUUUCACAGCAGUACAAUUAAAUAUCUACCUUAAUUCGUUGCACGCUGUCACCUUUGAACACCAAGGCCUCUUGCUAACCUUUGUCCCUCGCUUCCUUUGUCCAUUUCCUUUUCUUCCAUUCUCUGUUCCCAUUACUCUCCUGCAUCUAAUCUUUGGUUAGUAGGUGUGGUUUUAAAACACUUGCACCGAGUUUCCUCUUUGAAGGCCGGCAGAACUGCCCUGCCCUGGAGGGAGGCCAGACUUUGGACUUGCACUGAGGAAUGUAACAGGGAGGUGGUCAGCAGACAGCGGGAUGAGCACAUGGAGGACACUGUAGCUGCCUCUUGGUUCUCUCCUUUUAUUCCUGUCCUCUUCUGUGGUGUCAUGAUUCACACUGUGGAGGUCUGUGUUCAUGAGAACAGGCCGAGGGUGUAGCUCAGUGACACAGCACCUGCUUGGCAAGCGCGAGGUUGUGAGUUUGAUACCUGCUAUCAAAAAAACCCUUAUGAGAAGAGUGCUGCUCUCUCUCUCUCUCUCUCUCUCUCUCUCUCUCUCUCUCUCUCUCUCAUGCUUUGCUGUCUUCUGCCACCAUGAAGUGUUGUUCUUCUGUCCUGUGCCACCCUGCUUUGAAGCCAGCCAACUAUGGACUGAAACCUCCACAAAUGAUAGGAUCUCACUAUGCAGACUGGGAUGGCCUUAAAUUCCCUGUGAUCCUCCUGCUUCAGCCUCUUGAAUGUUGGGAUUACAAGCAUGGACCACCACACCUGACCUAACUUAACUUUUUUCACCUAAUAGGUAAACUCAGAAUGUCCAGAAAGCAGGUGAUUUUUGCUACCAGGAUUUGAACUCAGGACUUCACACUUGCCAGGCAGGUGCUGUGCCGCUGAACUAUAUCCCCCACUGAUAAACUCAGAAUGUAUCACUAAACUUAGCAGGCCUCUGGCCUCCGCCAACCAGGAGCUAAAAACACUUUACCAUAACAUCUGAAACCCACAGACCAGAUUCCCCCAGCUUGCUGUAGUGCCCUCUAUUUGUUGUUUCCACAGUGACACUGGUGUUGCAGGGACUUCCUUUUGUUCUGGGACGAUAAAAGAUCCUCCCACACAGUGGAAAGUAACAUUCACAGUAACUUGAAUCUGUGUUCCCAGGUCAUGGUCAUACAACUUUGGCUUGGAAUAAACUAUUUCCCUAUUUCCUUUAGAAAACAAAACAAAGCCUGCAUCACAUAUGUUUUGCUGUUGAAACUCAGGGCCACGUGAAGCUACAGUGGUCACCCUGAGCAGUAAGGCCAUCUGUGAGAAACAUAGAACCCACUGGGGAGAGAGACCUCUGCUCUUGAGAGCUGCGUGUGAUGACCUUGUGAGAGAAGGGUGGCAUUUGGACAGAGAGCAAAGCUGCCUGCCUUCCAGGCCUGAAACAACUGUAUUUCACACCAGGGCUGCAUGACUCCUCCAAAGCUGUCAGGUGCCAACUUUUUAGUGAGCAGGUUUCCGGUCCAUCCCAGGACCCACAGACCAGCUUUCCACAGAAAACUACAACGCCAGGCGGUCUGAUCAGGCAGCCUAGUUUCUUGUUCUCUAACCGUCCACGAGAGAGAAGCAGCCCAUGGAACAAAUUUUGAGUUCCCUUAGCUUUCAGCAUGGUGUUGCUUUCUCAGAAAACUAAAGCAGGUCUCCUCCAGAAGCGUCCAUGUAGAGCCCAGCAGGAAGUUUAAUCAGGUCAUUGUCAGGGUCAGACUUAUAGGGGAAGCCAGGAGGUGGGGCCAGGGAUGGCAUCUCUCCCUCUGCAGGAGCGUACCUGUUGUAACUACAGGAAAGGAGAGCACUGGCACUGAAUUUGUUUAUCCUGGCUACAUCUAUUGCCGUAGUAGGGUAGGGGACACAGGAAAACCCUAUUGCAGGCAUGCACGCCUCCAGCCACACGGAAGGAGAUCUUCUUGUGCCCAAGUGUGGGUGGGUGACCUGAAAAGCUUUGAGGUGCUCCUCCUGCAUGAGGACCAGGUCCUUUGGAGACUGCAGUCAUAAUCAGGGGACCAGCAGUAUCCACAUGACCAGUGACAAGUGGCACUGACAUCUAGGAUCACAGUUCACAUGCCCAGAGCAGCUGGGGCCAUUUCAAGCAUUCCAGCAUCUUAUGCAAGUGCUCUUGCAGGCUUCAGGGGAGGAGGCAGGCUGGGACAGGCUCCAAGCUGACAGCCUCUCCUGGUGCCGCUCAGGGCCGCCUCACACCUGGAUGUCUCUGUUGGCAUGUCAACUCCUGGAGGCACAUGUGUAGGCAGUUUUAGAAAGUGUCCUUGGACAAAGUUCUCAGUGACAACUUUGUGGCAGCCUGGGCUUGCUCUCCAGCCUCUGGGGCAUGGGUACGGCAGGGCAGCUUCUGCCACACUGGUUCUGAGUGGCUUCAGGGAGAGUGCAGACCACUGGGCAGUGGAAGCCCAGCUUUCUGUCAGAUGUUGUUGUGGUUUAGACUCAGAUGUCCCCCUAAAGCCCCACAUGCUCACAGGUGAGCUCUGGAGAGGGACUGGGUCAUGAGGUUGUGACGGUCGGCAGUGGAUGAGUUCAUAGCUAUGAUUUGGGAGGUGAAGCCUGGUUGGAGGGUUUGGGACGUGGCCUGGAAGGGCCUGUCCACCCCCACCCCAUCUCACUCUCUGAGCCACCACCACUGUGCCCCUGUGCCACCCCAUCCUGUCUCGGAGCCAGCGACUGUGUGAGCAGGAAACCUCUAUGAUCUGUGAACCAGAACACUGGUUCUCCUUUAACUCAUGAGUGUCGGGUAUUUUGUCUCAGUGACAAGAGAAUGACUGUCACACACAUUCCCUCCUGACGCUGGCCAAGCAGAGUUACUCAGCGAAAGCACCGUGCAGGUGGCCUCCUCGGUCCUGACCCGACUCACAGCCUCCCUGUGGCCCCCACUGUGGCCUCUCACAGCGACAGCAUCUUCUCCCCGCCUGGGUCCUGGGUUAGUCCUGGCCCAUCAGCCCCACUGUGUGAGGAAGGGAAGACACCCACGGGCGACAUCCACCGUCCAAAAUGCGUGGUCACCGGGGAUGCCAGACAGGGCCAUCUUUGCCUGGGACCUGGGCCCCAUCUCCCAGGAGUUCUGAUCUCUGUUUUGUCCAAGAUACUGUUAAGUCGAGGCCCCUUUGAGAAAGGGUUCAACCCACUGCCCCAUAUUUCUCCAUCUUUUUCAUAGUUAUGUCAUAGUAUUCUGUCAAAAGACUUGAGGGCCGGGCUUUUAGCUCAGCAGUGCAGCCCCUGCCUGACAAGCUCAAGGUCCCGAGUCCAAUUCCCGGGACCAAAAAUAAAUAAAUAAAUAAAUAAACACAGACUUGAUAACUUGUGCGUGGCGGUGCAUGUCUGUAAUCCCCACACUCUGAGAAGCUGGGGCAGGAGGACUGCAGAUUCAAGUGUAGAACAGGCAAUUUAGUGACUUAGUGAGAACCUGUCUCAGAGAAAUUUAAGUAACUGGGGGUGUAGCUCAGUGCAAAUGCUCUAGGUUUAAUUUCCCGGGGGGGGGGCGGGGAGGAGAAAAUGGUAAAAAUCAAAAUACGUAAGGAUUAUUGUAACCCUCAAGCUAAAAACUCAUUUGCAAAGUAAGAAAAGUAAUAUGAGGAACUUUAUGAAGAACUAAAAAGUAAAAUGAGGAAUUUGAACUCAGUGCUUUCACACUGAGCUAUAUCCCUACCCCCACAGUAAUCCCUUUACAUUUCUUUCUUUUUUUGUUGUUGUUGUUGUUUUGAGACAGGGUCUUGCUAUGCAGUUCAGACUGCCCUUGAACUCACCAUGUAGUUCAGGGUGGCCUUGAACACCCGGUGAUCCUCCUGCUUCAGCCUCUCUGGUGCUGGGAUUAUAAGCAUGCACCACCACUCCCAGCAUGCAACUAUGAUCUGACAUAGUAAAUAAAAAAUGUAGAUGCUGAUAAAUUUUUACUUCCCAAAUAGCUGGACUACAGAAAGAAAGUCUGCUAAUUCUUUGCUGUCUGUGUGAACCAUUCUGUUUUAGAGUAAAUUUAUAAAUUCACAUUCUGGCGCUUAGCUCAAGCUAUUGCAUUUUAGCUGUCGUGAUCAAGAAAAGACAAAGAAUGUUCUUACACUGCUUCCAGUGAGUCCAUUCACUUAGCCGUUCAGCGAUCAUUUUGAGGUUUCUGGGUAGAACUACUACACAUCAUUAAAUAGAAGAGAACACACAUUCCAACGCUCAGAGUGGCAAGUGGGAAUAUACGACAGAUGAGAUCUAUGACAGGGAACAGCUAGCGGGGGAACCCAACAGCGUCUGAGCUCACAUUUACCACCUGGAUCCCAAAUGGUUGGAGAACGCCCGUUCGCUUGGUCAACGGAGUUUUUCUGCACAUAUAGAAAAUAAACAAAAUAUGAAAGAAGUGUGAAGUGGGGUCACCUUAGACACUGCAUCAACACAGUGAGAGGUUUUAUUCCUCCUCACAUUUCUGAGGCCAAAUGGGGGCUGCUCCCUGACCCAGCCUCGCCAAUUCUCCAGACCCCGAUCAGGGUCCAGCGAUUCAGUUAAAAUCUGCCAGCGCCCAGCUGGAGUUCACAGCAGCUCCCACCAACGGAAGGAGCUCGGUCCUGCAGGCCGUCCCCACGUCACAUGCCAGCUGCGAGUGUCAGGCCCCCUGGCUAUAAAUCAUCACUGUCGCAUCCUCCUCCACAGGCUUGAUAAAUUGCCAGAACAGCUCACAGGACUCGGGAGAAAAGUUGAAAUAUAUUUCCUAGUUUAUCAUAAAAGAUGCCACCGGAAAGACACAACCGGGGACGGAGGGGACAGACGUGAAUUCUCUCUUCCUCGCUGGCCUGCCUUUCUCCCAGCACCUACAGGAGCUCUCUGAACCCCAUUAUUUAGGGUUUCUUAUCACUCCCUAAUCGAAUUAUUUAAAUACAGGAUGCCCCCAAAUUGCAUUUUUUCAUUAAUUUUUGUAACACAAUAUAACAGGAAAUAUUAGAGUAGUGACUUUAUCAAAUUUACUCAGUAAUUGUUCUGUGUAUGUUGUAUUUUAAAGCAUUCAAUACAUAACACAAGGCUAUAGUCUGACCAGUAGUAUCUAGUCGCUUUCCAUGUUUUUUUGCAUUAUUGUCUUUGUUUGUCUGUUUGUUUUUGGUACUGGGGAUCCAACUCACAGCCUCAAGCGUGCCAGGCAGGUGCUUGUGCCCCUGAGCUAAACCCCCGGCCCUAUCAUCUUUCUUUGAACAACACUUUACACCGACGUGUUGGCCUUUGCUUUCUUUCCUGUGGGUGAAAUCAUUUUAAUAAAACUUCUGUCCACCA